AAUUUGGCCCACCUUCCUCCUGACCAUUGAAAGUAUGAUUUGAAGAAAAUCUAGAGGUUUGUUUAUCAAAAUCAUUUGUGGAAUUGUAUGAUGUGCUUUCUUUCUCCAUAACUCUCCUACUUGCUUCUGAUACUUUAGAUUCAUGGGGUUGCUCAAAAGCAUUUUCUGCCUCAACAGAAGCAGCCAAUGUAGUCGCUAAAGGAGGUUCCUUGAUUGUACAUUCAUGGGGUUGCUCAUAAGCAUUUUCUGCCUCAACAGAAGCAGCCAAUGUAGUCGCUAAAGGAGGUUCCUUGAUUGUAGGAGGUAUUAUACUUGCACUCUGAUCUUUUUUGGUGUUUCCGCCUUUGGAUAGACUUUUAACCCUGUAAAUACAACGUCAAUAGGUUCAUCCAUAUAAUCAAACGGAUAAAACAUUCAAUUUGUACAAAAAAGGCAAGAGC
rnacentral:lncRNA from 1 species